rnacentral:rRNA from 1 species
UGACAUGCUCCCUGGGCUGCGGAGACGUGCGUGCAUUUGGUUGGGGGUGUGCAGGUGGUGCAUGGUUGUCGUCAGCUCGUGUCGUGAGAUGUUGGGUUAAGUCCCGCAACGAGCGCAACCCUUGCCCUAUGUUGCCAGCACGUUGUGGUGGGGACUCGUNGGGGACUGCCGGGGUUAACUCGGAGGAAGGUGGGGAUGACGUCAAAUCAUCAUGCCCCUUAUGUCUUGGGCUUCACGCAUGCUACAAUGGUUGGUACAGAGGGUUGCGAUAUCGUGAGGUGGAGCGAAUCCCUUAAAGCCAGUCUCAGUUCGGAUUGGGGUCUGCAACUCGACCCCAUGAAGGUGGAGUCGCUAGUAAUCGNAGAUNAGA